rnacentral:piRNA from 1 species
UGAGAAAGAAGGAAUCCUUUGAAAGAGGA